UGGAGCAUGUGGUUUAAUUCGAAGCUACACGAAGAACCUUACCAGGGUUUGACAUACAAGUAGUAGGGAAGGAAACUGGACCGACCCUUCGGGAGCUUGUACAGGUGCUGCAUGGCUGUCGUCAGCUCGUGUCGUGAGAUGUUCGGUUAAGUCCGCUAACGAGCGCAACCCUCGUCGUAUGUUAUAUGUGUCAUACGAGACUGCCGGUAAAAAGCCGGAGGAAGGUGAGGAUGAUGUCAAGUCAGCAUGACCUUUAUAUCCAGGGCUACACACACGCUACAAUGGUCUGUACAAUGGGUAGCCAAGCCGCGAGGCGGAGCCAAUCCUGAAAGCAGGCCUCAGUUCAGAUUGCAGUCUGCAACUCGACUGCAUGAAGCCGGAGUUGCUAGUAACCGCAGGUCAGCAAUACUGCGGUGAAUACGUUCCCGGGUCUU
rnacentral:rRNA from 1 species